CCUCCCAAAAUUUUAAUCCCUGCUUCUCGCCCGCUCCCCACGUCAAGCCAUUCAAAGAGCUCUGCUUCCAUACGCUUGAUCUGAUCGAGGAACUAAGCCCUUUUGCAGAACCUUUAGAGACUCGGUUAUUUUAUAUACCCUAGCAUAUACAAAAAUAAAAACCCUAAUUCUUUAUCCUUCCACGACAACCCUUCCUUUCCUCCCCCUCUCUAUCCUCCCACGGUAUUCUGUUGUUGAAGAUGUCGGCUCCGGCACCAGCACCUCCAGCUCUGUACGCCGGCGGUUCCCUCUGGCGGCUCAUCCGGAGAUGAUGAGAGCGGCGCACUCACACUUUAUUGGUGAUUGAAGUUUCAUUUGGUGCCACGGUUUGUUCAGAUGGCGUAUGGACAAAAGGGACGUGGUAAGAAAUACGUUCAUCAUGCAAAAGAAGAGAAGUAUGAACUAUAUCCUGAAAUCAAAGAAUUCCCUGAUGUUAAUCUCAAACAUAAAGAAGAUUUCAGUAAAUUAAUAUCAUGGGGUGAUUGCAAAAGUUUUGGGUUUCAUCUCCUUAUUAUUUGGAGGCUGCGGGUCAAGAUUCUUAAAGUAAGCAUUCUUUAUACUUAACUGUUUCCGUUUUAAAAGACUGAUAUGUAAGUUUUGGUAUAUAGUUAGAAAACACAUGGUUUGCCAUUAUAAUUUAGAAAAUACUUACCCGCUUUCACAAUUGCCCAUUUGAGUGAUGACAGCUGGUCUUCCUCCAACUAUCACCAGGUAUUUUUUGGGGGCGCAAUGGAUCAUCAAAAUCUAGUUCCACUGAGAGCUUAUUAUUACAAUAAAGAAGAGAAGCUGCUUGUCUACGAUUAUAUGCCAAUGGGAAGUCUUUCUGCACUUCUUCAUGUAUCAGUCAGAUGAGGCGUGCAUGCGUACGUACGGUGCAGUGUGGUGCUGCUGAUGAGGCGUGCGUGCGGUGUAUUCGCUGCUACUGCGUGCGGCUUUUCUGCUGCGGUAUGCGUAGAAUACAGUGCUGCUGCUGAGGCGUUCGUGUAGUGCAGUCGACACUGUUGCGUGCGGCGCUGCUGCUGCUGCGACUGUUUGAUGAGCUUGAUUAACCGCUGGCAUUAACUUUAUAUCUUUCCUCUUAAUAAAUCAAUAAUCAUAGGGAGCUUGCAAAAGAUUUUGUGGUGGCUGGUACUACAUCAGAGUCUCUGUAUGGUGCCUGUGAGUCGAUGUUCAAGCCAGACAUGGUACAAGGUGGAUAAAGAUGCUAUGCUCGAUAUGAUGUCACAAAUUGAAGCUACAUUAACAAGUACAAUUUGAAGAUAGGCUACAAACACUUGGUUUUCAAUGUUUAUCGUAUUAGGAUUUUUUAAGUUAUUUGAUGUUUUAGCUGGUAUUUCUAUUAGAAUGUUUUAUACGCUUUCGAUACACAUAUGUUUUAUAUAAUUUUGGGUUUUCGUGAUCUUA